rnacentral:misc_RNA from 1 species
AUUCUGCCCCGAGCUGCGAAGUGCGAAAGGAGCGGGAAUCCUCCUUCGGGGAGGGGUUUGCCGGGGCCGAAAGAGAGCGACUGCAGGAGCAUAAGGAUCAAGGAUCCCCGUGGUGAGCGGGCCACGCAGCAACAGGCGGCCCACUUCGCUCCCGGCACACAUCCAUUACCCCAUCGGCUCAUCCCGUUUGCGCUAGCUGCUUGCAUUGAAAAUUUAUGUCCUAAUAAGUGAUUUGUACCGCGCU